CCUUAAGGAAGUCUAAGCUGGCAUUUCCAUUGUCCUCAGCUAUCUGUUGGACAGCUCUGUCCAGCAUGACACCGGGCCAAGCUGGCCCACCAAGGGGGCUCAGUGGCUUGGGGGAGAGGGCAUAGAGGCACGAUUCCGGCCCAGAAAGAAUCCACGGGGGCCAGCCCCAGGAAGGCCGAGCUAAGACACAGGUGUCUGACACCACCAAGGCACCUCUGCUCGGAACCUGCAAUCAAACGGCUGCCCUGAUUAGCCAAGUACAAAAGCCAGUUCAGAUUACUGCCCUCCUCCCAGCCAAUCGUCGGCCGGCCUGCCUGACAGCAGCAGGCCCCUGAUGUAAGGGGAAGUACACGCGGCCAGAACCGGAGAACCGGUUUCCACAGUGGCCGCUGGCACACCGGGUCCGCAUGCACGCCUGCCCCACUGUCUGGGGAAGCCGUUUGUCAGGCUGUUGUAAGGAGAGCUUGUGGUAAUGGGUAAGCCACCUCCUGGCUUCCCCAAAGAGUGUCGCUCUAGGUCCUUUGACUCAUAAACAACACGAUGCACUGUGAUGACAAUUAAAGUGAAGAUGAGGAAACAGAGGCUGGAAGAGGUUAGGGAAUGUGUCCAACACUUCACAGCUAGUGGGCAGCAGAGCUGGGAUUCACACCCUGGCAACCUGACCGGAGAGCGCCCGCCUUGAACCACCACCCUCUACAAAGGAAAAUUUCCAUUCUGACCUAGGCAUUCGCUAGGUUUGUGACCCUGGGCAAAUUACUAAACUUCUCCAAGCCUUUCUCUCCUCUGCAUUGGGACUGAUAAGAGAAGCUACCUGACAUGAGGACCGAACAGGAUGACGUAAGUAAAGCACUUAGCACUGGGCCUGGCCCACGGGAAGCACUCACAUGUCACCCCAUAGCAGUGGUUUGGGUAGGAUGAGCAUCGCUCUCCAGCCUUCACCAGGACCUGAAGUGAGACAGGAUACAGUGUGUCCCCAUCACCCCUUGAUGGUGUGGCAGCCACUCAUGGGCAGGACUGUGAAGUCUCGGGUCCUCAAGUCCGGAAGUGACGCCCAUGAUGGUCAGUGCACAUUACCUUGGCACCAGGAAGUUCUUCACACUGGAACGUGCACCGGCUCCCCCUCAUCUAGAAGAGAGAUCGUCCACGCCAUGCUGUCCACCUACCCCAUCCCACCCCCAUAAACCCUGCCCCUGGCCCCAUCUGCUAUUUCCUGCUUGCUCUUCUUCAGAUUUAAAUCGAGAAUCCGGAACGAGUUCACAAACAUCUUAGACUUCUCCUUUAUUACCUGCCUAACUUCUUUGGCAAUCAGCUGUGGAGGGUUAUGCAAUCCAUGUUUGAAGAAGCAUUGAUGAUCUAAUCUGGAGGCAGUGCUGUGGAACCCACAGUGCACUGGACCAGGACGUGAGGGCUUGCCUUUCCCUUCUGGUUCUGCCACUGACUUGCUAAGUGACAUGGAACAAGUCACUUAUCAUCUCCAGGCUC
rnacentral:lncRNA from 1 species